CGGGAGCUCCCAAGCGGCCGGCCGGCUCUCCGCACCCCUCUCCUGCCAUGCCACAGCCGGCCAGCCAGCCCCAGUGUCCCGGCCCCGGGCCUCCGGGGUCCGGCGAGCAACCGCGUAGGCAACAGGAGACCCGCAGCAGCCGCCCCGGCCCCGCUGCGAGGGGGAGUGGGGUACUGACAUUUCUGCCGCCACGCCCUGGGAGAGUCCCCUAUAAAGGUCCCGGGGCGUGCGUGGGACAGUGAGACGUGGCACUGCGGGGCUGCAGCCGGGGCGCACAGGCAUCUCCCCAGCCAAUUCCCUGAACUGAUACUUUCAAAAUGAAGAGGAAGAUAAGAGUGGGAAUGAAGAAUGCCUUGGAGAAAUCCAGUCAUAAAGUUUGAGGAGAGGAAAUAUUAAUAACUCUGGUCUCUUACAUAGGUCAGAAUUUAGACUGAAAUGAUGUAAAGUUACAAACCUGAGACAUAAGGGCUAUUAAAUUUGAAUCAAGAUUCACAGAUUUUUAAAUCAAUGCAUAAUAAAAAUACUUGCU
rnacentral:lncRNA from 1 species